AUUGAACGCUGGCGGCAGGCCUAACACAUGCAAGUCGAGCGGAUGAAGGGAGCUUGCUCCUGGAUUCAGCGGCGGACGGGUGAGUAAUGCCUAGGAAUCUGCCUGGUAGUGGGGGAUAACGUCCGGAAACGGGCGCUAAUACCGCAUACGUCCUGAGGGAGAAAGUGGGGGAUCUUCGGACCUCACGCUAUCAGAUGAGCCUAGGUCGGAUUAGCUAGUUGGUGGGGUAAAGGCCUACCCAGGCGACGAUCCGUAACUGGUCUGAGAGGAUGAUCAGUCACAACGGAACUGAGACACGGUCCCGACCCCGACGGGAGGCAGCAGGGGGGAAUUUUUGGAAAUGGGCGAAAGCCUGACCCAGCCCCGCCGCGGGAGUGAUGAAGGUUUUCGGAUUGUAAAACCCUUUUAUUAGGGAAGAAAGGGUGUGUAUGUAACUCUGCGCGUUUUGACGGUACCCAACAAAAAAGCCACGGCUAACUUCGUG
rnacentral:rRNA from 1 species